UAGAGAUGUGCAGUUUGCCAGAAACAAAGCAGAUGAGGUCUUGGCCUAUUUGGCUAAAACAAUUUUGCACUGUUGAAAAGUAGACAAAGUAGAAAAAGGGCUAAAAGGAGGAGAUGUAGCAUCUCGGAAACAGUUCUCAUCCAUAUGAGCAAGGGCUUCAUGUUACUGGCCGUGGCCCUGUGCUGAGUCCUCCUCCCGCCCAUGGCCCUCUCCUCCUGGCCAGUGGUCCUCCGCCUGAACAUGGCCGACUUUGUCUUCAGUUUCCUCUGCCUCGGCAUUGGGCUCCUGAUUUCUCUUCAGCCUGACGCUCUUUUCAGUUAACGGCAAGGCGGUGCACCCAAGUCCGGUGGUGUCCUACCUGGUGACCUCCUACCUGUGCUGGGACGCCAGCGACUUGAUGCUGCACUCCGCAGGGCGCAGCGAGGCGGACAUCCAAACAGCGGAACUCAGACGCUGACUCCGAGCGCACCCCGGGCCUUCCCAUUUCAUACACCCUCGAGGAUGAGACCCAAGCACCUCCAAGGAAUAGCACCCGAGGUCUUCAGGACACCGACCGGUAGCCAUGGCCAGAUGCCCGGCCAACCCCUUCAGCGUGGCCACGCCCUGGAUAUUCGACCUCCCCUGAGGCCCCACCCCCUGAUAUCAGGCCACGCCCUCCGAGGGGACCGGUGGCAAACUCCAGCCCUCGCUCUAGGGCCCGCCCUUUGCGGCUUUGUCCCUGCCCACUGGGUCCUCACAGUACCUCCACCCCAGAGGCCCAGCAUCCCCUCCCGUUCUGCAGACACUUGUCCAGCGUCCCGCUGAGCUCGGCAGUGUGGCUAGUUUGUGUGGCCCUGCCCCUGGUGCCCAGCCAGGGUGGUCUGCAUGGAACUUCUUUCCCGGAGUUCCGGCCUCAGCUCCGAUGUCCACCCUUGUCCCCAGGUGGACACAGCACCGCCCAGCAUUUGGUGCAACUCCACCCUUCUGCAGAACGGGCCCCUCCCUGGGAAGGCAUGGCUUGCAAUAACAUCCCUCUGUACCUUUUCUGGCUUCCCCG
rnacentral:lncRNA from 1 species